UACGUAGGGGGCAAGCGUUGUCCGGAAUCAUUGGGCGUAAAGCGCGUGUAGGCGGCCCGGUAAGUCCGCUGUGAAAGUCGGGGGCUCAACCCUCGAAUGCCGGUGGAUACUGUCGGGCUAGAGUGCGGAAGAGGCGAGUGGAAUUCCUGGUGUAGCGGUGAAAUGCGCAGAUAUCAGGAGGAACACCUAUUGCGAAGGCAGCUCGCUGGGACGCAACUGACGCUGAGACGCGAAAGCGUGGGGAGCAAACAGG
rnacentral:rRNA from 1 species